GACGUAGGGCGCGAGCGUUGUCCGGAUUUAUUGGGCGUAAAGAGCUCGUAGGCGGCUUGUCGCGUCGUCCGUGAAAACCUGCAGCUUAACUGUGGGCGUGCGGUCGAUACGGGCAUCACUGGAGUUCGGCAGGGGAGACUGGAAUUCCUGGUGUAGCGGUGAAAUGCGUAGAUAUCUGGAGGAAUACCGGUGGCGAAGGCGGCAUCCUGGACCAUUACUGACGCUGAGGCGCGAAAGCUAGGGGAGCAAACGGG
rnacentral:rRNA from 1 species